GGACUUUAGCUCAGAGGCAGAGCAUGUGUUUACCAUGUGCAAGGUCCUGGGUUCAAUUCCUAGCACCA
rnacentral:tRNA from 1 species